CAUUACACAGAUUUCAAGAUGGCGGCACAAAUCGCGUCCCAUUGAAGCCAGCUGAUAUUGUCCAUUGUGGGACUUUAAGAAGCAUUGUCUAUAUCUAAACAAGUGAAACGUCACCUGCAUAACAAGGAACAAUGAAUACAAAUAAAACCGUUUCUAGGGUACCAGGUGGCAGUGACGAAACUCAAAGAGACUGAGCGACAUAGCUCCAGCAUCUAUCAGCAGAACGACCCUUGGGACCCAGCGGUCUAUUUCCAGGAUUUCCUGGAAAUCAUCAAAACAUCAAAAUGUUUUGUUCAUGUAAUACGUCAACGUGAUUUGUCAAGGUGAUUUCUUACUCAAAUGAACACUGAGGUGGUGUUUAUCUCCCGUUUAAAACUUUGAGCCAGUAGUGAAAAAUACACAUUUAUAUGACAGGGGCGAUUGUAUCCAUGGGACAACCCCUGCCGACUUCCCCAUAAAGUGGUCCUUAUUUUAGCCCACCCAAGAGGGAUAAUGGACUGAGUCGACCGCCAA